CCAGCCAGGGCUACAUAAUGAGACCUUAAAAAAAAAAUUAUAAAGUGGCUGUGCUUGUGGGACAGAUUAAAGGAGCUGUGAACCGAAGGGGGAGGGUUUCUCAGUGCCUGUCCUCUAUGUGAACUGGCUGAACAGAAAAAA